rnacentral:rRNA from 1 species
CCUACGGGAGGCAGCAGUGGGGAAUAUUGGACAAUGGGCGAAAGCCUGAUCCAGCAAUGCCGCGUGAGUGAUGAAGGCCUUAGGGUUGUAAAGCUCUUUUACCAGGGAUGAUAAUGACAGUACCUGGAGAAUAAGCUCCGGCUAACUCCGUGCCAGCAGCCGCGGUAAUACGGAGGGAGCUAGCGUUGUUCGGAAUUACUGGGCGUAAAGCGUACGUAGGCGGUUAUUCAAGUCAGAGGUGAAAGCCUGGAGCUCAACUCCAGAACUGCCUUUGAAACUAGAUAGCUAGAAUCUUGGAGAGGUGAGUGGAAUUCCGAGUGUAGAGGUGAAAUUCGUAGAUAUUCGGAAGAACACCAGUGGCGAAGGCGACUCACUGGACAAGUAUUGACGCUGAGGUACGAAAGCGUGGGGAGCAAACAGGAUUAGAUACCCUGGUAGUCCACGCCGUAAACGAUGAUAACUAGCUGUUCGGGCUCUACGAGCUUGAGUGGCGCAGCUAACGCAUAAGUUAUCCGCCUGGGGAGUACGGUCGCAAGAUUAAACUUAAAUGAAUUGACGG